AGCGAACGCUGGCGGCAGGCCUAACACAUGCAAGUCGAACGAACCUUUCGGGGUUAGUGGCGGACGGGUGAGUAACACGUGGGAACGUGCCUUUAGGUUCGGAAUAACUCAGGGAAACUUGUGCUAAUACCGAAUGUGCCCUUCGGGGGAAAGAUUUAUCGCCUUUAGAGCGGCCCGCGUCUGAUUAGCUAGUUGGUUGAGGUAAUGGCUCACCAAGGCGACGAUCAGUAGCUGGUCGGAGAGGAGGAUCAGCCACAUUGGGACUGAGACACGGCCCAAACUCCUACGGGAGGCAGCAGUGGGGAAUCUUGGACAAUGGGCGAAAGCCUGACGCAGCCAUGCCGGGUGAGUGAGGAAGGUCUUAGGGUUGUAAAUUUCUUUCACCGGGGAGGAUAAUGACGGUACCGGGAGAAGAAGCCCCGGCUAACUCCGUG
rnacentral:rRNA from 1 species